AUAUUAAAGUAGUAUUAGUUAUAUUCUUGAAACUUAAAGAAUUUGGCGGUAUUUUAAUCUAUUUAGAGGAACCUGUCCUGUAAUCGAUAAUCCUCGUUAAAUUUUACUGAAUUAUUUGUAUAUCGUUGUCGAAAAAAUAAAUUUUUAAGUAUUAUUAAUAUAAUAGAUGUCAAAUCAAGGUGCAGUUAAUAAUUUAGAAGAGAUGGGUUACAAUAAAGUUAUUUAGGAAUUUAAUGAAGAUGGAUUUAAAUGUAAAUUAUU
rnacentral:rRNA from 1 species